GUGGAUCAUUAGGAUAAUAUCCCCCACAUUGUUUUCACUUCCCACUGUCUAUGUCUAUUCCCUUUAAGUAGUCAGUCUUUCCCUGCACCCCCACCACUGUUGAGCUUAGUCGUAUGAUUGUUUCUGGCCAAUGGGAUAAUAGCAAAUGAGGUGCAAACACAGGCCUGACAAGUGCUUGCGCAUUGCGCAUGCCAUUUCUUUCUGACGGGAAUCAUUCCGCCACAAGCGAACGAGCCUGGGCUGGCCUUGUGGAAGCCUAGCCGAGGCCUCAGAAUAUGGAUGAGAUCAUCUGAGACCAUCCACCCCAGGAAGCCAGCAAAGUGGCUAGAAGCCGCCAUACCACCGCAGAAUCACGAUUGCUGUUCUGAGUCACUACAUUUCAGGUGACUUGUUGAGCAGCAAACGAGCAGACGAACCUAAAGUCAGAAGAUGCUAGCGGAAGAAACAGGACCCAGAACUCCAUUGGAAAAUGGGGUAUACAGACUUCGAGGAUGCCAGACAAAAAGAUCAUUUGAAAUAUUGUUGUCACUAAGCCUUCUUUGAUCAAGACACCAUGAGCUCAUGGAACUGGUCCUCUGAAGACAGCGUCUGCAAUGAAGCUGAGUCCUCUCUCUCUCCCAGGCCCGAGUGUCUACCUCUAAUUUAUUCCUGAUGAAUGACAGCAAGUUCACAGCCUCAGGCUAAUGGAAGCACGAUAGUGAGCAAGGCAGACAAGGUCACUGCCCACAAGGAGCUGCUGAUGGAGAAUAACAUGCAAAGAAGAAGGCAGGAUUGAGCUUUCAGCUGCUCUGUAGAUUCUCAUCAGAGGUGCAGACUCUUCUUUGUGGAUCAUACCUACAUUUUACUUUUCCUGAAAAUAUAGUAUGUAUUCAGGGCACACAGGCAUCUUCUAUUCACUUCAUCAUCAACACUUGUCAAACAAAAACUGCUGUUCAUGCUACAGACUCAUGCAGCUCCCUGCAUUUUGAAAGAAUUGCCUCCAUCUUCUGAGCCUGGCUCAAGGAGUGAGAAGUGGCAGCAUCAUCAACUCCAAAGACAGCUUUAUACAAGAUUAGCAUCUUCAACAAGAAUGUCAGAGGCAUGAAAAUGAGGAAAAUGUAAUCACAAUCACUCACUAUGAAUUUCCUGGGACAAAAUUAAACUUAAAUGGCAACAAAAGGUGAACUUGGUUAAAAUGAUUGAUGGACAGUUUUCCUUGCUAAAUUUCAUUCAAAAUAGCAUAGGUCAUAUCCAAGUAUGUUCUCAUCAAAGAGUGGAUUGCUUUCUGGUCUUGGUCUGGGGUCUGCUGCUUAAUCCAUGUGGGAACUUAGUCAAGUGAAGCUAACUUUUUCCUUCCUCAGUGGACUCAACUGUAAAAUGGGUAGAAUAACAGUACUUGUUAGGAUGUCAUCUAAGUGAAAUAGUACUUACAUUUAAUUGUAAGAAUUAAAUGACAUGGUAUGAGUGAAGCACUCAGCACAGAGCCUGGGAGUAGUGAGCACCAUCAUAUAUAUUAACCAUUAUUGUAGUACCUGGAAACUGUGUUUUACUUGAACAGCUGUGUUUUUCUUGUUACUUAUCUACAAUUGACCACACUGGAUAUUUGUUUUGAGCCAUAAUGAGGAUGAAGUGGAAAGAUAAACCCAUUUAUCCCUCCUAUUAUAAUUGUAAAGAGUCAUUUUUAGUGAACUUCAAUUAUAAACUCAGGGACAAGAAUAUUCUUUAUGAGAGCAAAGAAAGAGAGCAGAGGCUGCAAAGAAUUGUGUCCCACUUAGACAUUCCCUCGCAAGCCCCAGAACAAAAGAAAAUUGGUCGCAAACAGCAAUUCUUUUAGCCACCUGGAUCAUGUCUGGCCAGGAUAGAAGAAAACGGUUCUUGUUUCACUAAUGGAAUUUUAAAAGCAUUGCUCCCAAUCUUUCUGUGGGUAAGUUUAGACUCAGUAGAGAGCUCAGCCUGAUGUGCAACAAAUCUGGAGUUGUUGUGUGGCUCUCUCAGAUGCCUGAAUACAUUAAAGAUGUGUAGCCCCAACUGAGAGCCUUGCACAGUAAGCACAUGAGGGCACAAGCCACAGAAUGGAAAACUCACAGCUUAGCAAUUUGGGAUAUUUAUUUUGUCUACUUUUAAAAUAUUUAGUCUGGAAUAUUUAAACUAAUAUUUGAUUGGUGUACACACUUGUCCAAAUUUACAGCAGCUGACACUGCAUGGAGCUUUGGAGACGCAGGUUCACGGCUAGCUGAUUGUUUAGAAAGCUCAUAUGUGAAAAGCCAGAUCUUUCUGCGAAUGUAGAUAAAAAGUGGGUCAAGCCAAGUGUAUGGAAAAUGAGAUAAUGGGAGAUUCGGAGAAUAUUCCCAUGGGGGCCAGUUUUUCUGAUGUCCAACUGAACUACAUAUUAAUGAAGGAUGAAAACCUCUCACAACUGAUAAGCAGGCUGUCUCCUGGCAAUUAUCAUAGCUUCUGUUGCAAAAUAGGUACAUUAUUUGGACUUUAUCCAUUCCUUGACUUGCUCUCUGUGAGGAAGCACAGUCUCAAAUAAUUGCAGGUCUAUUAGCACAUCAAUUACCUAAAGACCUUGAUUUUAGCAAGGAGUGGAUUUUAAUCAAUUGCUGCAAAUGUUAUCGAGAGAUUAGUUGUCCCAGAGAAUAAAAUUAACUACAAUUAGACUGUAAUAACUCGUGAGUGCCACUAGCAUAUAUUUUCUAGUUCCUGUACAAUUAAUGCAUUUUACUGCUUCCUGUAUAAAAAACAUUUAGACUUUUUCAUAAUAACUUGAAUUAAUGUUACCUUUUUAAUUUCCUUCCUUGUAAGGAACCAAAAGGACACAACUAAACUAAUACAUAAAUAACUUGCACUUUAAUAUAUUGAGUUCUUACUAAACAAGACAAUUUAAGAUAAUUAAUAGAAACUAAAGAGUUUAUUAAAGCAGAAUUUUAUUUCAAUCCUGAAAUUGAAUCCAGUGUUUUUAAAGCAUUAGUGAUUGGACAGAGGGAAUGAUGGGGGGAGAUAAGAGAAAAUACAUCACGGUUCAGUGAUGGUCAAUUGAGGUAAAAAUGACAACAUGGCAGAUCUGGGGACAUGUGAACAUUCAGUCAUGCAUCCAGAAACACCUGAGGAGGGAACUGUACUAGUCUGUUCUCAUGCUGCCAAUAAAGACAUACCCAAGACUGGGUAAUUUAUAAAGGUAGGAGGUUUAAUUGACUCACAGUUUCACAUGGCUGGGACUGCCUCACAAUCAUGGUGGAAGGCGAAUGAGGAGCAAAGUUAUGACUUACAUGGCGGCAGGCAAGGGAGCUUGUGCAGGGGAGUUCCCAUGUAUAAAACCAUCAGAUCUCGUGAGACUUAUUCACUACCACAAGAGCAGAUGGGGGAAACUGCCCCCUAUGAUUCAAUUAUCUCUACCUGGCCUCACCCUUGACAUGUGGGGAUUAUUACAAUUUAAGGUGAGAUUUGAGUGGGGACACAGCCAAACCAUAUCAGGAACUUAUUAAAGUGUUGCACUUGCUGUAUUCAAAGUGAAUGAGAGACUAUUAUGGUGUCUAUAAUAAUUUACUUCCAAAUACUUUGACACAUACUAUGCAAUAUAAAGCAUGUGCUACUUAGUUUGAACUUCAAUUCUAGGGCCAGUCACUUUCUCUGAUCAAGAAUCCACACUCCAAUGGUGGUAGCUAGCAUUAUAUGAGGAAGGCUAAUUCUAAGGGUGGCUACUAAAAGCCCCAUAUCUUAAACAGCACCUGAGGAUAUGCUAAUUAGCAUAGUGAAUGUCAGACAUGGAUUUGUUCAGUGUCCUUGUGGCCUGUUAUUUAGCAAGACUGGUAGAACUGCACUCUGACUGAUUAGAUGACAUGAAAAUUGUCUCAGAGAUGUGACUUAGCUAAAAUCUUUUUGUUGAUAUUACAAGGACUUGCAUGGACAGCAUGUAGGAAUUCAGGGAGACUCAAAACCAGCUUUCUCAAGGAUGGCCCUGAUGCUUGAUUCCUUAAAGGCUCUGUGGCUGGUUCUCGAUUGCUUGGUAUGAUAAAAGUCACAGUUUCCCACCUCCAGAAUGUUUUAAUAUCUAUUUUGAGUGAAACUUUCAUGUAGGGUGGUGGUUGCAGCAUCUACACAGGCAGAAGGUGAGAUUUUGUGUAAUUAUUUCAGGUUUGAUUGCACAUAAAAAGUUUAAUAUAUUCAAUAUUUGUAGCAGAACUUGGCUGAAAACUUACUUUCAUUAUAACCUGGUAAAAGGUUGUAGAGGAAUAGCUAACUUCCAUUCACCUCAAAUUGUUCAGUGAUUAACUUUCUCCACCAGAAAUAAUUUAAGAGUUGUUCUUGUCUAAAUUGGCUGAAGACACUUUGCGGCAGGACAUCGGAUUAUUCCUGUUUGGGAAAUAGGUAACAGUACUUACUCCCUUUGAAGACUGCAAAGUUCAGAUAUAUGUAAGUUAACUUACGAUCUUCCUAGUGUUGUAGGAGGACUCCAAUACUUUGAGGCUAAAACAUGAAUUUUUAACCUAAAUAUUGACCCUGGAUGUGUAAAAAUUAAUAGUUUUGUGAUCCAAUAACAGAAUUUAGUACUUAUUUCAUUUUUGAAUGUAGACAAACUACAUAUUACAGGUGCCUAUAAUUUUGUUACCAAUAUGAAUCACAGAAAUUUUUCACGACAUCUUAUGGUUGUUAUACAUAACUCUAAAGAUUAUUUAGGAUCAUCACCACUUGAAAAUUAUGGUAGUUAUUAGAGCAACUGCUAAAUCUCUUUGUUUAACAUAUCAGUAAAUAAUUAAUGCUAAUUACUACAUUGUUAACUUUUUUCUUAUAUUUUGAAAUUUAAUUUCAGUAUAAUUGGCUUUCUUCUUCAUUCUAUGUAUUUUAUGAAUUUAAAAACAUUAUUUGGGGAAGGGGAUCAGUAGAAAUCGCCAGACUGAAAAGGGCUUCAUGGCACAAUAAAGAGUAAGAACCCCUCACCCAGAAGGUUCCUUCAAUGCCAAUACCAUUCCCAAAAUUAAUCCAAGUUGCCUGGACUAUUUCCUUGUUUAUGUGAUGUCAUAAAAGUGAAUGAUGUGCAUGUAUCUGUGUGUGUAGGAUGGGUUGGGUUGAACUGUCAUAAAUUAAAAAAUAAGGGCAGCCAGUGUGGCAGAUUCAGGAAAGGAAGAUAAUGGAGUAAGAGUAAAUUUGUUGUAGGUUUUCUUAAAAAUCUUUUUUCCAUAACAUCGUGCUGCAUCAUCAAUGAAAAGGAAAAAAAAGCUUAUUUUCCAGUUUGUUGGAUAGAGGAAGAAAAUUUCAUGGGGAACCAUUUAUUAAGUACCUUAACCUGACUUCUCUCCUGCCUCUACAUAUCCUCUUAUGGGCAAAGAGGCUCAUGACUAACAUAGGCAUUUGGGAUAAAGGAUACACAGCUAUAUUAUUGGACCACAGACUUUAAGGCCUUGGGCCAACCACCUCAAUGUUCUGGGUUUAAUUUUAGUGGAGAAAAAAGUAUCUGACAGCACUUUUGACUCCGCUUCCUUACCUUCAUAUGUGUGUUGCUCAAAUUAGAAAGGGGUUUCCUGAUCCUUGACUGCACUAAUGUAGAGGUGUCUAUGCAUGGCAGGUCUUCCUGGAGAACCCUUGAUCUGCUCAUUUGUGAAACCUGGAGAAAAAUGAUUGAAUGCCAGUGAAGUCGUGAUUAGGACUUUCAUAGGUCUCAGGUGCUCAGAUAUAAGUCUUAUUAAUAUCUGUCACUGGAAACCUUAGUGUGGAAAAGCAAAAGCUAUGAACACUGACUUGUCAGGUUUGAGUCCUGACUAUGCAUGUCCCUUAUUAGUUAAAUGACCUUAUGCAAGUCACUUCCUCUUCUAAAACUUCGAUUUCCACAUCUAUGAAAUGGCAGUCAUCAUCAUCAUCAUCAUCAUCAUCAUCAUCUUUAUCAUUUCGUCUCCCUUUUGGGAUGCUGUGAGGUUUAAAUCACAUGCAGAUGAUAUCUAGCAUAACGUACUUAUGGAAUGUGGAAUGUGAAUGACUCCAUAUUCAUUCUUUUGGA